GCAGGAUAGAAGAUUUAUCAGUUUGGGACGAUCAUUUAAGAUCUCGAAACACAGAUCUGUUGAUCCUUUGUUUCCAUUCCCGGGAAGUUUAUUAUAUGUUACC